GACGAACGCUGGCGGCGUGCUUAACACAUGCAAGUCGAGCGGUAAGGCCCUUUCGGGGUACGACGAGCGGCGAACGGGUGAGUAACACGUGGGUGACCUGCCUUUAGCUCUGGGAUAAGCCUGGGAAACUGGGUCUAAUACCGGAUAUGACCCUAUGGCGCAUGUUGUGGGGUGGAAAGCCUUGUGCGGCUAGGGAUGGGCCCGCGGCCUAUCAGCUUGUUGGUGGGGUGAUGGCCACCAAGGCGACGACGGGUAGCCGGCCUGAGAGGGCGACCGGCCACACUGGGACUGAGACACGGCCCAGACUCCUACGGGAGGCAGCAGUGGGGAAUCUUGCGCAAUGGGCGAAAGCCUGACGCAGCGACGCCGCGUGAGGGAUGACGGCCU
rnacentral:rRNA from 1 species